CGAAAUCCUAAAAUUUAACAUGAUAUCUCUUCUUUUUUCCCUCCUUUCUUUUUCCCAAAAUCGGUUCCCUCCCCCCUCCCCAAAGAAAUCCCAAGAUUUCACCUGAAAUUAGUAGAAGCAAUGAUUCUACUUCACUUCUCGAAUAGAAAAAGAAAAAACCCUAGCAGGUACACUCUUCCCUCACUUUCUAAACAGUAUAACAUAAGUUUAACAUAAGUUUAUGAUGUGGCGAUAGAGUCGCCGUUACAAUUGGCGACUAAGUUGUCUGAACGAUUGGGUAAUCAAGUUUGGCUCAAGAGAGAAGAUUUGCAGCCGGUAUUCUCUUUUAAGCUUCGUGGAGCUUAUAAUAUGAUGGCUAAGCUUACGAAUGAGCAGUUAGAAAAAGGGGUUAUUUGCUCAUCAGCAGGAAAUCAUGCCCAAGGGGUUGCAUUGGCUGCCAGGAAGCUUGGUUGCAAUGCUGUUAUCGCUAUGCCUGUUACAACUCCUGAAAUUAAGUGGCAAUCUGUUGAGAGGUUGGGUGCAACUGUUGUUCUCGUUGGAGAUUCUUAUGAUGAGGCACAAGCAUAUGCUAAAAAGCGGCUAAAGAGGAAAGUCGUACCUUUAUACCCCCUUUUGAUCAUCCAGACGUUAUCAUGGGACAAGGUACUAUUGGAAUGGAGAUUGUGUGCCAAAUGCAAGGCCCAUUGCAUGCAAUCUUUGUUCCCGUUGGUGGUGGUGGGCUCAUAGCUGGCAUUGCUGCUUAUGUAAAGAGGGUUUCCCCAGAGGUGAAAGCCAUCCCAGGGAAGAAACGAGGCAAGUUGGGUCGGUUUGAGAAGGGGACCUGUUUGAAUCUCAAAGCGCGAAGAAGAAAAAGAAAAGAAGAAAGAAGAAGAGAUUGGAUUCCAAAGGCAAAGAAGAAAAUGAGGAAGACAAAAAGAAAAGGGAAGAACCAGGUCAGAGUUGUUCGGGUUCUCAGGUCAAGCCCCAGCUAGUUUGUUUGUACCCUUUUACAUCAACGAGUAGUGCAACGCAAAGAAAUAUCAAGCAACAAUACGAUCAGCUUGUUAAGUGUCAUGGAAACAAAAGAUUGACAUUAGCUCAGAACACUCUUGCAGGUUUUACAAAGCUAUCAUCCACAUUGAGUAAUUUAGAGAUGCUUGACUUAAAAUACAAUUACUUGAAUGAUAGCAUUCUGCUAUCUCUGAGUGAGCUUUCAUCUCUUCGAUAUUUAGAUCUAUCAUACAAUCGAAUUGAAGGAUCAAGUCAUUCAAUAGGUAAUUUAAGUAUGGUCCGGUUUUAGUUUUUAUUUGUAUUGUGGCGUUUGACAGUGGUUUUCAAUUCUUUUUAUCCCCUGUAAUGUAACUCUGCUUUUGCUUUAGUAAAAUUUUCAUAUAGUUGAGAAAGUAAAAACAGUUAACAAGUAAUUUUAAUAUAUAUAAGGUUUCCAAUGGAUUUCAAGACUCACCAAAUUGGAAACUCUUGUUUUAAGUGGGAAUUCUUUGAAGAAUAGUGUUCUUCUCCAUAUGAGAAAUCUUUCAUUCUUGAAGAAUUUAAGAUUGAGCGAUAAUCACUUGGAAGGAAGGGUGCUUCAUAUUCAAGGAUUAUGAGUAUGCAAGUUAUAAUCCUGUUGCCUUUGAUAUUGCAAAUCACUUCUGUGAGAUGGCUGCCGAUUAUACACAGAUACACCCCAUGUUAUGGAUUAUAGUAAAUAUCCAGCUUAUUAAGAGAGUAAGAUGGCAUCCACUUUCACAGCCAUGUAAUCAGUUGGCUCAUUUGUUGCAUCUAAUGGUUUGGCCAUAAAAUAAUUUAUGGUUUUGCUCAAUCAAGUGACCAAGAUUCCGUUUAACAAUUUUCUUUAUUGCUGGAACAAGUCUUAACCAAGAUCAAGAUCAAAGUACUUCACUAAGUUAUAUAUGCAGGCAUUGCAAUACUUUGGCUUCAUCUAAGCUU